GGAAUUCUCCAGGCCAGAAUACUGGAGUGGGCAGCCUUUCCCUUCUCCAGGGGAUCUGCCUGACUCAGGGAUCAAACCCAGGUCUCCCGUAUUGCAGGCGGAUUCUUUACCAGCUGAGCCACAAGGGAAGCCCACAGAAAGGGGAGAGAUUGAUAAUACAGGAGUGAAGGAACAUCUCUGUUUAUCUAAGACCCUCCCUCCUCUGUCCUGCUGGCCCUGGCUGCCGCAUCCAAUGAGGCCAGCCCACAGAACUGGUCAGAGGGACCCAGGUCAGCUCAACUGAGAGGAUACCCACUUCUCUGAGCCUGAGGAAAGCAGAAGAAGGGGGGCCAAUGGACAUGUCUGCAGGUUUCAGGAAGAUUAAAGGACUCAACACAUGGAAAGCAGUCAGCACAACGCCUGCCCAUCUUGUGCACUCAGCAUACAUCAGCUGUUCUUACUUCCAGGAGAGGUGGGGAAGAAUCCCCGUCUAAAUUUCCAGCUAAUCUCAGCAUGAGGAGUAAGUCAGCAGCCCUCUGAAGGCCUCCUUGGGGCACAGCCUACUCUCUGCAGGGUGUUCCCCAUCUGAGCCCUAUCUACACCAGCUCUUGCAGAUGACUGGAUCCUAAGCACACAGACCUCCCCAAUUCCCACUUCCCCCAGCAAUUUUUGUGACUCUGCUUUAACCUAUAAACUGAAGGGCAAGGCAGGGGAUGUUUUCCUGUUCUCUUUAAUCUGGUAUGUAAUAAAUUAUGCCUAUUUAAUCCUUUAACAACUGAACAAAUGACUGAAUCAGUCUUAGAACAUUCAGCAAUCCCUUUUUAUGAAAACUUAAUUUGAAGUCUAUGUAAUAGCAGAGAGAGAGAGAGAAAGAGAAGGAGGGAGCGAAGGAGACAAGAGACCAGAAAGCAGCAAUCCCCCGGCACCAUCCUGGAUGGGCUGCCAAAGGCAGGGGCUAAGG
ensembl:lncRNA